rnacentral:rRNA from 1 species
GAUGAACGCUGGCGGCGUGCCUAAUACAUGCAAGUCGAGCGAACGGACGAGAAGCUUGCUUCUCUGAUGUUAGCGGCGGACGGGUGAGUAACACGUGGAUAACCUACCUAUAAGACUGGGAGAACUUCGGGAAACCGGAGCUAAUACCGGAUAAUAUUUUGAACCGCAUGGUUCAAAAGUGAAAGACGGUUUUGCUGUCACUUAUAGAUGGAUCCGCGCUGCAUUAGCUAGUUGGUAAGGUAACGGCUUACCAAGGCAACGAUGCAUAGCCGACCUGAGAGGGUGAUCAGCCACACUGGAACUGAGACACGGUCCAGACUCCUACGGGAGGCAGCAGUAGGGAAUCUUCCGCAAUGGGCGCAAGCCUGACGGAGCCACGCCGCGUGAGUGAUGAAGGUCUUCGGAUCGUAAAACUCUGUUAUUAGGGAAGAACAUAUGUGUAAGUAACUGUGCACAUCUUGACGGUACCUAAUCAGAAAGCCACGGCUAACUACGUG